UACGAAGGGGGCUAGCGUUGUUCGGAAUCACUGGGCGUAAAGCGCACGUAGGCGGAUCUUUAAGUCAGGGGUGAAAUCCCGAGGCUCAACCUCGGAACUGCCUUUGAUACUGGAGAUCUCGAGUUCGGGAGAGGUGAGUGGAACUGCGAGUGUAGAGGUGAAAUUCGUAGAUAUUCGCAAGAACACCAGUGGCGAAGGCGGCUCACUGGCCCGAUACUGACGCUGAGGUGCGAAAGCGUGGGGAGCAAACAGG
rnacentral:rRNA from 1 species